GCCACAUUAUCUCAGGGGCAAGAGCGUCUGUCUUGUAGACAGAAGGUCGCUGGUUCGAUUCCAGUAUGUGGCA